rnacentral:rRNA from 1 species
GAUGAACGCUGGCGGCAUGCCUAAUACAUGCAAGUCGAACGAUAGGAAGGAAAGCUUGCUUUUCUGAAUCUAGUGGCGAACGGGUGAGUAACACGUAGGUAACCUGCCCAUGUGCCCGGGAUAACUUCUGGAAACGGAUGCUAAAACCGGAUAGGUAGCAGACAAGCAUUUGACUGCUAUUAAAGUGGCUAAGGCCAUGAACAUGGAUGGGCCUGCGGUGCAUUAGCUAGUUGGUGAGGUAACGGCCCACCAAGGCGACGAUGCAUAGCCGGCCUGGGAGGGCGGACGGCCACAUUGGGACUGAGACACGGCCCAAACUCCUACGGGAGGCAGCAGUAGGGGAUUUUCGUCAAUGGGGGGAACCCUGAACGAGCAAUGCCGCGUGAGUGAGGAAGGUCUUCGGAUCGUAAAGCUCUGUUGUAAGAGAAAAACGACAUUCAUAGGGAAUGAUGAGUGAGUGAUGGUAUCUUACCAGAAAGUCACGGCUAACUACGUGCCAGCAGCCGCAGUAA